AACGAACGCUGGCGGCAGGCCUAACACAUGCAAGUCGAGCGCCCCGCAAGGGGAGCGGCGGACGGGUGAGUAACGCGUGGGAACGUACCCUUUGCUACGGAAUAGCCUCGGGAAACUGGGAGUAAUACCGUAUGUGUCCUUCGGGAGAAAGAUUUAUCGGCAAGGGAUCGGCCCGCGUUGGAUUAGGUAGUUGGUGGGGUAAUGGCCUACCAAGCCGACGAUCCAUAGCUGGUUUGAGAGGAUGAUCAGCCACACUGGGACUGAGACACGGCCCAGACUCCUACGGGAGGCAGCAGUGGGGAAUCUUAGACAAUGGGUGCAAGCCUGAUCUAGCCAUGCCGCGUGAGCGAUGAAGGCCUUAGGGUUGUAAAGCUCUUUCAGGGGGGAAGAUAAUGACUGUACCCCCAGAAGAAGCCCCGGCUAACUCCGUG
rnacentral:rRNA from 1 species